rnacentral:rRNA from 1 species
CCUACGGGGGGCAGCAAUGGGGAAUAUUGGACAAUGGGGGGAACCCUGAUCCAGCCAUGCCGCGUGUGUGAAGAAGGCCCUCGGGUUGUAAAGCACUUUCAGUGAGGAAGAACGCCUGGUGGUUAAUACCCAUCAGGAAAGACAUCACUCACAGAAGAAGCACCGGCUAACUCCGUGCCAGCAGCCGCGGUAAUACGGAGGGUGCGAGCGUUAAUCGGAAUUACUGGGCGUAAAGCGCGCGUAGGUGGCUUGAUAAGCCGGUUGUGAAAGCCCCGGGCUCAACCUGGGAACGGCAUCCGGAACUGUCAAGCUAGAGUGCAGGAGAGGAAGGUAGAAUUCCCGGUGUAGCGGUGAAAUGCGUAGAGAUCGGGAGGAAUACCAGUGGCGAAGGCGGCCUUCUGGACUGACACUGACACUGAGGUGCGAAAGCGUGGGUAGCAAACAGGAUUAGAUACCCCAGUAGUC